rnacentral:rRNA from 1 species
UUCCGGUUGAUCCUGCCGGAGGCGACCGCUUUGGGAGUUCGAUUAAGCCAUGCGAGUCGUGAGUCUUAGGGACUCGGCAUACUGCUCAGUAACACGUGGAUAACCUGCCCUAUCGUCUGGAAUAACCUCGGGAAACUGAGAAUAAGGCCGGAUAGUUCACAAUGCCUGGAACGGUUUGUGAAUCAAGAUAGGAUGGGUCUGCGGCGUAUCAGGUUGUAGGGGGUGUAAAGGACCCCCUAGCCUUCGACGCGUACGGGUGUUGGGAGACAUAGCCCGGAGAUGGAUUCUGAGACACGAAUCCAGACCCUACGGGGUGCAGCAGGCGCGAAAACUUCACACUGCAGGCAACUGUGAUGAGGGAACUCCUAGUGCAUGCACUAUGUGUAUGUAGAUCCUACUCUUAACAAGUAGAGGGAAAGGGCUGGGAAAGACCGGUGCCAGCCGCCGCGAUAAUACCGGCAGCUCAAGUGGUCGUCGCUUUUAUUGGGCCUAAAACGUCCGUAGCCUGUUUGGUAAAUCUGUGGGUAAAUCAACGAGCUUAACUCGUUGAAUUCUGCGGAGACUGCCAGACUAGGGACCGGGAGAGGUAUGAGGUACUCUGGGGGUAGGGGUAAAAUCCUGUCAUCCUCAGAGGACCACCUGUUGCGAAGGCGUCAUACUGGAACGGAUCCGACGGUCAGGGACGAAGCCCAGGGGCACGAACCGGAUUAGAUACCCGGGUAGUCCUAGGUGUAAACGCUGUGGAUUUGGUGUGUGGGGUCCGCAAUGGGCCCCAUGUGCCGGAGUGAAGAUGUUAAAUCCACUGCCUGGGGAGUACGGUCGCAAGGCUGAAACUUAAAGGAAUUGGCGGGGCAGCAC